rnacentral:rRNA from 1 species
AACGAACGCUGGCGGCAUGCCUAACACAUGCAAGUCGAACGAGACCUUCGGGUCUAGUGGCGCACGGGUGCGUAACGCGUGGGAACCUGCCCUUAGGUUCGGAAUAACUCCCCGAAAGGGGUGCUAAUACCGGAUAAUGUCUUCGGACCAAAGAUUUAUCGCCUUUGGAUGGGCCCGCGUUGGAUUAGCUAGUUGGUAGGGUAAAAGCCUACCAAGGCGACGAUCCAUAGCUGGUCUGAGAGGAUGAUCAGCCACACUGGGACUGAGACACGGCCCAGACUCCUACGGGAGGCAGCAGUGGGGAAUAUUGGACAAUGGGCGAAAGCCUGAUCCAGCAAUGCCGCGUGAGGGAUGAAGGCCUUAGGGUUGUAAAGCUCUUUUACCCGGGAUGAUAAUGACAGUACCGGGAGAAUAAGCUCCGGCUAACUCCGUG